rnacentral:rRNA from 1 species
GUCAUUAAGUCCAUUAAGCCUAGUUGCUUAGCGUUGGGAGCAUUACCGUACGGUAACUCCUCAAAGUCAGUGGCAGGGUUACGGUACACUCUAAGCGUAGUAGAUUUCUUUCUCGCUUUUGUUGUGGCCGCGGCCGUUGCCAUAAACCUAUACUUUUUAGUUGGUUGACCUCGGAUCAGGUAGGAAUACCCGCUGAACUUAAGCAUAUCAAUAAGCGGAGGAAAAGAAACCAACAGGGAUUGCCUUAGUAACGGCGAGUGAAGCGGCAACAGCUCAAAUUUGAAAUCUGGCCCCAGGCCCGAAUUGUAAUUUGUAGAGGAUGCUUUUGGUGCGGUACCUUCCGAGUUCCCUGGAACGGGACGCCUUAGAGGGUGAGAGCCCCGUACGGUUGGAUGCCUAGCCUCUGUAAAGCUCCUUCGACGAGUCGAGUAGUUUGGGAAUGCUGCUCUAAAUGGGAGGUAAAUUUCUUCUAAAGCUAAAUACCGGCCAGAGACCGAUAGCGCACAAGUAGAGUGAUCGAAAGAUGAAAAGCACUUUGAAAAGAGGGUUAAAUAGUACGUGAAAUUGUUGAAAGGGAAGCGCUUAUGACCAGACUUUUGCCCUGCGGAUCAUCUGGUGUUCUCACCGGUGCACUUCGCUUGGUUUAGGCCAGCGUCGAUUUUGGUAGGGGGAU